UGAGGAAUAUUGGUCAAUGGACGCAAGUCUGAACCAGCCAAGUAGCGUGCAGGAUGACGGCCCUAUGGGUUGUAAACUGCUUUUAUAUGGGGAUAAAGUGGGGAACGUGUUCCCUUUUGCAGGUACCAUAUGAAUAAGGACCGGCUAAUUCCGUGCCAGCAGCCGCGGUAAUACGGAAGGUCCGGGCGUUAUCCGGAUUUAUUGGGUUUAAAGGGAGCGUAGGCUGUCUAUUAAGCGUGUUGUGAAAUUUACCGGCUCAACCGGUGGCUUGCAGCGCGAACUGGUCGACUUGAGUAUGCAGGAAGUAGGCGGAAUUCAUGGUGUAGCGGUGAAAUGCUUAGAUAUCAUGACGAACUCCGAUUGCGCAGGCAGCUUACUGUAGCAUAACUGACGCUGAUGCUCGAAAGUGCGGGUAUCAAACAGG
rnacentral:rRNA from 1 species